rnacentral:rRNA from 1 species
GAUGAACGCUGGCGGCGUGCCUAAUACAUGCAAGUAGAACGCUGAAGGAGGAGCUUGCUCUUCUGGAUGAGUUGCGAACGGGUGAGUAACGCGUAGGUAACCUGCCUGGUAGCGGGGGAUAACUAUUGGAAACGAUAGCUAAUACCGCAUGACAACAGUUAUUGCAUGAUAACUGUUUAAAAGGGGCAACUGCUCCACUACCAGAUGGACCUGCGUUGUAUUAGCUAGUUGGUGAGGUAACGGCUCACCAAGGCGACGAUACAUAGCCGACCUGAGAGGGGGAUCGGCCACACUGGGACUGAGACACGGCCCAGACUCCUACGGGAGGCAGCAGGAGGGAAUCUUCGGCAAUGGACGGAAGUCUGCCCGAGCAACGCCGGGGGGGUGAAGAAGGUUUUCGGAUCGUAAAGCUCUUUUGUAAGGGAAGACCGGGUGGGGGGGUGGAAAGUUCCCACUGGGGCGGUUUUUUACCAGAAAGGGACGGCUAACUACGG